rnacentral:rRNA from 1 species
GACGAAGGGGGCUAGCGUUGUUCGGAAUUACUGGGCGUAAAGCGCGUGUAGGCGGUUGUCCAAGUCGGGUGUGAAAGCCUUGAGCUCAACUCAAGAAAUGCACUCGAUACUGGGUGACUUGAGGACCGGAGAGGAUAGUGGAAUUCCCAGUGUAGUGGUGAAAUACGUAGAGAUUGGGAAGAACACCAGUGGCGAAGGCGCUACACUAGAACGGCUCUGACAGUGAGGGACGAAGCCCUGGGGCGCAAACCGG